rnacentral:tRNA from 1 species
GCGGGAGUAGUUCAAUGGUAGAACUUCAGCCUUCCAAGCUGAUCAUGCGGGUUCGAUUCCCGUCUCCCGCU